UGCAUUGCCUGGCUUUGCGACUUCAUGUCUAAUUACUUUUCUAUUGUUGUGGUAAGACCAGGCAACUUAGAAAGAAAAUGUUUAAUUUGGGCCGACAGGUUCAGUGUGCGUGUGCGCACACACGAGAGAGAGAGAGAGAGAGAGAGAGAGAGAGAGAGAGAGAGAGAGAGAGAGAGAGAGAGAGAUUGAGAAUGGCUUGAGAUUUUUUUAAACCUCCAAUCCUUCCUGUAGUGACAUGUAGUGACAUACCUUCUCCAACAAGGAUCUUUCUAAUCCUUCCCAAACAGUUCUACCACUUAGGACCAAGCAUUCAAAUACAGGAAUUAAUGGGAGACAUUCUUACUCAAACCGCCAUACCUUGGGCAACUCACUGUCUUUCUGGGCCUCAGAUUCCUCAGCUAUAGAAUGGGAAUACUGAUAGGUCACUUAAGGAGUUGUAUACCUAAGUGCUAUAUAAAGUAAAUCUAUGGAGUAGAGUACUGGGCACGCAGAUACUUCUUAAUAUAUAAGUGAUAAUAAGCAUAGUAUAUAAAGGAAGUUAAUAAGUGGCCAAAGGAGAGAAGUGGUGGGGCGGCCAGCCCCAGAUUGUCUGCGAAGGUCAUUAUAAAUGUGUCGGAUAUUUAAAUCUGUGUGGGUGGCCUCAGAGUGAAAUUCUGAUUUCUCUUGAGCAGGCAAAUAGUAGAUAAGCACAUAGAGCAUUUUAGCUUAUGGUUUGGAAAUAAGUAUGUGACAGGAGAUGUAAACUGAGGCAGGCUUUCAGAUGGGGAAUGUUGUAUCACCUCAAGAAAAGGGUCCUAAAUCACUUUAAGUGCUAGUUUUUAGAAUGCCAGACAGGAAGAGAGUAGCUAAGUAUUCUGCAGUGUGUUAAUGACUGAGCAUGGCAGCAUGUGGGAAUUAGAUAUGCACACACACAUAAAACAAGGCUAGUUGAAGAAUAGUCCGAAAUAUCAGUUGAUUACAGUUUCAUUAAUACAGCUGUGUACAUUCACAAAGCCUGAGAAAUUUAGGGGGAAAGCAUCCUUCUCUCUCUAACAUUGCUUAAGUCUAUAAAAUAUUUCCAUAGUGAAUAAGAAAUAGAAUGUCCUGCCAUGUCUUUCUGAGCAGGGCAAGGAGAACUAGGAUCAGGACAGGGGUCUACCUGAGUCAGGCACUUGGCCAAAAUAUGUUGGAAGCUUUGCCCACAGAAGGCUACCUGUAUAACUGUGGCUUUUUCUAAGGAACAAACACCCUGCUGUCUUUGAUCACCAUCCCCACCCUUCAUCCAAAGACACAAGUAUGUAAGGCUUCUCUAGGCAGGUCUUCAUAUGCUAGGGACCCACAGACUGAUGCCAGUGAGGGUCUUCCUAUUAAGUGCGCUCAUCCUGCCCUGCCUCGGACAGCAGCUGGACACAUUUUCAAAAGUGCACUUGCAGGUCACUGAUGCGAUGCGGGAGAAGCCUUGAUGUUGAACUCCAGUCCUGCCAUCUUAAGUGCUUAUGUAGCUUUUCUCACCUGCCCCAAUAGGGGGCGCACUUGCUCCUGCAGCUCAAGAGGCUAAGAUGCUGACCCCUCCAGGGGCUACCGUAAAAGAGUGAUUUUUUUUUUCUUUUGCCAACUUCAAUAUAAAAUUACUCAUCUAACCAAUCACUUGGUCUUCAGAUCUCUUCUAUGCAACUUGUUCUUUCAAUUGGACAUUUAAGAAGGACUUAUAGGGCCGGAGAUGCAACCUAGUAGGUAAAGUUCUUGCCUGGCAGGUACAAACCCCUGGGUUUAAUCCUCAGGACCACAUAAAUUUGGUGUUUGUGCCUCAGGCCUGUGAUUUCAGCACUUGGGAGGUUGAGGUUGGAAGAUCAGAAGUUCAGGGUUACCAUAGCUAUGCAGUAAACUCAAGGCCAGCCUGAGACUCAAGAGACCCUGCCUCAACAAGCCGGGAAGGGAGAUGCUUACAAAGAAAAAAACAAAACAUAAAUCCAAGAAAAAUCACUGAUUUGAUGUUUAUACCAGUUUAACAAUAUAAUUUGUGGGCCAAGACCGUGACCACAACUUCUCUAUGAAGGUGAUUUCAGAAUCACAAGCCUGCCUCCAUUCUUGUAUCUUAAUGCCGAUUUCUUGUCAUUACUUCUUUUUUUUAUUAAAUUUUUUAGGUUAUACAAAAUACAAUCAUUCAGCAUUUUCAUGUAUGCGUGCCUUUAUGUUUCAUUCUCAUUCAUUCCCUCCCUGCUACCUCUAUAGUUUUCAACCAUUAAUUUAGAAAAAAUAAGGAUUUUGUUACUCAGUAAUCAAAGGCUAAGGAGUGAUGUUUCUGUAUACGCCACUCCUCAUCAGCUUUGAGCAAGUCAGUGAGUGAAGGCCGGAGAAGAUCAUGGAAGAGCUGUGGAAGAAAUAGAAAUCUUACUUUAGAGUCAAAACCCUGUGUCAGAAAG
rnacentral:lncRNA from 1 species